rnacentral:ncRNA from 1 species
CCGAUAAGGCCAAACUCCGAGUAAUCGGGGGACGGAAAGCCGCGGGUCCCGCAUGGCGGGAUAGCUGGGUUGCCGAA